rnacentral:rRNA from 1 species
GAUGAACGCUGUCAGCAUGCUUAACACAUGCAAGUCAACUGUGGUGGACGGGUGAGUAACGCGUAAAGAACUUGCCUCACAGAUAGGGAAAACUUUAGGAAACGAAUGCUAAUACCUGAUACUGUGAUAGAGCUGUGCGUCGCAUUCGCGAGUUGGAGAUGUAACGGCUCAACAAGGCGAUGAUGGGUAGCCGGGCUGAGAGGGUGAUCGGCCACCAGGGGACUGAUACAAGGCUCUUAAGCCUACUGGAAGCAGCAGCGCGGAAUAAUGGACAAUGGACCAAAGUAUGAUCCAGCCAUUCGGUGUGCACGAUGAAGUUUUCGUAAUGAAAAUUGCUUUCAUUUGGGCAGCAGUACCAACAGAAGAAGCGACGGCUAAAUCCGUGCCAGCAGCCGCGGUAAUUC